AUACGGAGGGUGCAAGCGUUACUCGGAAUCACUGGGCGUAAAGCCCGCGCAGGCGGCUAUUUAAGUUGGAUGUGAAAGCCUACGGCUCAACCGUAGAACUGCAUCCAAAACUAUUUAGCUAGAGUGUGGGAGAGGAAGAUGGAAUUAGUUGUGUAGGGGUAAAAUCCGUAGAGAUAACUAGGAAUACCAAAAGCGAAGGCAAUCUUCUGGAACACUACUGACGCUGAGGCGCGAAAGCGUGGGGAGCAAACAGGAUUAGAAACCCUAGUAGUCC
rnacentral:rRNA from 1 species